rnacentral:misc_RNA from 1 species
GAUGAAGAACGUAGCGAAAUGCGAUAAGUAGUGUGAAUUGCAGAAUUCAGUGAAUCAUCGAAUCUUUGAACGCACAUUGCGCCCUUUGGUGUUCCUUAGGGCAUGCCUGUUCGAGCGUCAUUUAAACCUUCAAGCUCAGCUUGGUGUUGGGUGACUGUCCGCUUCACCGCGGACUCGCCUCAAAAUUAUUGGCGGCCGGUACAUUGGCUUCGAGCGCAGCAGAAACGCGAACUCGGGCCCGUCGUAUUGGCUCCCAGAAGCUAUCUUCACAAUUUUGACCUCGGAUCAGGUAGGGAUACCCGCUGAACUUAAGCAUAUCAAUAAGCGGAGGA